CUAAAUAUUCGUUAGGUGAGGUUCCUAUACAGAUAAAUGCUGCUGCCCGGAAACAUCGAGAGAUGCCAAUGGGUCAACAGGUAUUACCGAAAUAAGGUUUUACUUAAUGUAGCUGGAGAUAAAGUGGUCCAAAGCUGUAUAGUGCUAAAACUCAACGAGUGAAGGGUUUU
rnacentral:sRNA from 17 species